rnacentral:lncRNA from 1 species
GGGUGAAGUGCUCGAUUUUGAGAUCAUGCUCCAUACAGGAUCUUGAGUCUCUAAUAAUCUCUUUCAAGAGCUGAGCAUUGUUUGUGUGUUGAGAUUCAAAGAUUCUAUUACAUCUCUCCUUCCACAUCCACCAAAUAGCGCAUCUGAAAGUAACCUUUGCCAGUUGUGUAAGUGGCCCUUUUCUUGAGAAACAUUGCAUAAGGUCGCCUAGUUCUUGGUGCAAGUUUGGUUGCGGCAGUCUAUUGAGUUCAAAUCGCUGGAGAAUCUCCUUCCAUAUCCAUUUUGUAUAAUUACAAGCAAAAUAAAGGUGGUCAACAG